rnacentral:lncRNA from 1 species
CCCUCCAAUGGAGGUAAAAGCCUACGUCGUGCUUUGUGUUUGUAUUGAUGGGAAUCUCGAUUACAUGGGUGUCGAAUCGCUACCCUAGCUCUCGAGGGUUUCUUACUUGAUUUUCUGACUUGAGGGUUCUCCUUUAUAUGUAGGUAGCAGCCCCAAGUCUACAAUGGAGUUCGGGUCGAAUAAACACAUGUGUCCUACUAUAGAUUUACCUUAUCUUCCUUCCUAGGUUAGGAAAUCUUCUCGCGUCUCUUGCCCUGUACAUCUUUGAAACAUCGUCUUCUAGUGAUGGGCCACUUGGUGGCUCGUCGACUAAGUCCUCCAGCCCAUCUUCUCAUGUUGUCCUUGCGGCUUGACCGACCUCUAUAGUAUGG